AAGGGAGACCUAAUUCAGGUAUGGGACGAAAAAAAAGUAGUCGCUACCAAGAAUCAAUCCCAAAAGGUCGGAGCGAGGUAUGAGGCUUUCAAACUAGGUUCUGGGUUCAAACAAGACCUGAAUCAGGAACAAGGGCUAUUAGCUCAGGUGGUUAGAGCGCACCCCUGAUAAGGGUGAGGUCCCUGGUUCGAGUCCAGGAUGGCCCACCUGCACAGGUGGCAAAAACAAGAGAAGCGAGGAAUCAGCACCUUAUCUUAUCUAUAUAUAAGAGAGAAUGCUGGCUCUGAGUAAAGAGUCCAGAGGAACCUUGAAAACUGCAUAGGGCUAGGUGAAAAAGCCAAAAAAGAAGACCGCAA
rnacentral:tRNA from 1 species